rnacentral:lncRNA from 1 species
GCGGUGUUCUCAAGACUGCCAUGCUGGCUCAUCCAUACCUUGUUGGACUUGAUAAGUAUCGUAACCUAAUGAAGGAUGCCAUUCUGUGCUCUGCAAGGCCUGGGGGAGCCCCAGUGGGAAGGGAUCCAGAUGGUGCUGGGCCUGGGCCAAAAGUGAAAUGGGGGAGGACGGGUCCUUUCUCUCCUUUGUCCCUAACCUCCCCACUUCCUACUGCUGUCUGACUCAGAACCCUCAUGAAAAACCCAACUUUUUACACUGAUAUUUCCCAGAGGCCUAAUUGUGCAACAAGAAAUAAAAACACAAUUAGGGAACUGAGGUCCAGCAGGAAAUUCAUGUUACAUAAAUAAGACCUGGAGUGCAUAGGGGAGUGCCCC